GAUGAAGAACGCAGCGAAAUGCGAUACGUAAUGUGAAUUGCAGAAUUCAGUGAAUCAUCGAGUCUUUUAACGCACAUUGCGCCCCCUGGUAUUCCGGGGGGCAUGCCUGUCCGAGCGUCAUUGCUGCCCUCAAGCACGGCUUGUGUGUUGGGCCUCCGUCCUCCUCCCGGGGGACGGGCCCGAAAGGCAGCGGCGGCACCGCGUCCGGUCCUUGAGCGUAUGGGGCUUCGUCACCCGCUCUUGUAGGCCCGGCCGGCGCUUGCCGACACAUCAAUCUUUUUUCCAGGUUGACCUCGGAUCAGGUAGGGAUACCCGCUGAACUUAAGCAUAUCAAUAAGCGGAGGA
rnacentral:misc_RNA from 1 species